rnacentral:rRNA from 1 species
UACGUAGGCAGCGAGCGUUGUUCGGAAUUACUGGGCGUAAAGAGUGUGUAGGCGGUGCUCUAAGUCUGUCGUUAAAUCUCCCGGCUUAACUGGGAGGGUGCGGCGGAAACUGGUGUGCUCGAGGGUGGGAGAGGUAAGCGGAAUUCCUGGUGUAGCGGUGAAAUGCGUAGAUAUCAGGAGGAACACCUGCGGUGUAGACAGCUUACUGGACCACUUCUGACGCUGAGACACGAAAGCGUGGGUAGCAAACAGG